GGUGAACGCUGACAGAAUGCUUAACACAUGCAAGUCUACUUGAACUUCGGUUUGGGUGGCGGACGGGUGAGUAACGCGUAAAGAACUUGCCUCACAGUUAGGGACAACAUUUGGAAACGAAUGCUAAUACCUGAUAUUAUGAUUUUAGGGCAUCCUAGGAUUAUGAAAGCUAUAUGUGCUGUGAGGGAGCUUUGCGUCCCAUUAGCUAGUUGGAGAGGUAACGGCUCACCAAGGCGAUGAUGGGUAGCCGGCCUGAGAGGGUGAACGGCCACAAGGGGACUGAGACACGGCCCUUACUCCUACGGGAGGCAGCAGUGGGGAAUAUUGGACAAUGGACCAAAAGUCUGAUCCAGCAAUUCUGUGUGCACGAUGACGUUUUUCGGAAUGUAAAGUGCUUUCAGUUGGGAAGAAAAAAAUGACGGUACCAACAGAAGAAGUGACGGCUAAAUACGUG
rnacentral:rRNA from 1 species